rnacentral:misc_RNA from 1 species
UCCGGUUUAGACCGGUGUUUCCACCAGCUUUCACGUGCAUGUCAAGCCCAGGUAAGGUUCUUCGCGUUGCAUCGAAUUAAACCACAUGCUCCACCGCUUGUGCGGGCCCCCGUCAAUUCCUUUGAGUUUCAACCUUGCGGCCGUACUCCCCAGGCGGGGCACUUAUUGCGUUAGCGACGGCACCGGGAGGGUCGCUCCCCCCGACGCCUAGUGCCCAUCGUUUACGGCGUGGACUAC